rnacentral:rRNA from 1 species
AGCAGCCGCGGUAAUUCCAGCUCCAAUAGCGUAUAUUAAAGUUGUUGCAGUUAAAAAGCUCGUAGUUGAAUUUCGGGGUCAGUAGGCUGGUCGUGCCACAGGUACGUACUGGUCUCACUGAUUCCUCCUUCCUGAUGAACCGUAAUGCCAUUAAUUUGGUGUUGCGGGGAAACUGGACUGUUACUUUGAAAAAAUUAGAGUGUUUAAAGCAGGCUAACGCUUGAAUACAUUAGCAUGGAAUAAUGAAAUAGGACGUUCGAUCCUAUUUUGUUGGUUUCUAGGAUUGACGUAAUGAUUAAUAGGGAUAGUUGGGGGCAUUAGUAUUCAAUUGUCAGAGGUGAAAUUCUUGGAUUUAUUGAAGACUAACUACUGCGAAAGCAUUUGCCAAGGAUGUUUUCAUUAAUCAAGAACGAAAGUUAGGGGAUCGAAGACGAUCAGAUACCGUCGUAG